rnacentral:rRNA from 1 species
GACGAACGCUGGCGGCGUGCCUAACACAUGCAAGUCGAGCGGAAAUAGUUAAAGUUUACUUUGAUUAUUUUAGCUGCGGACGGGCGCGUAACACGUGGGCAACCUGCCCUUGAGCGGGGGAUAACACAGAGAAAUUUGCGCUCAUACCGCAUAACAUUUAGACUUCGCCUGGAGUUUAAAUCAAAGGAGUAAUCCGCUCAAGGAUGGGCCCGGGGCGCGUUAGCUAGUUGGUGAGGUAAUGGCCAACCAAGGCGACGAUGCGUAGCCGACAUGAGGGGGGGAUCGGCCACAUUGGAACUGAGACACGGUCCAGACUCCUACGGGAGGCAGCAGUUGGGAAUAUUGCGCAAUGGGGGAAACCCUGACGCAGCAACGCCGCGUGAGCGAUGAAGGCCUUCGGGUUGUAAAGCUCUGUCUUUGGGGACGAUAAUGACGGUACCCAAGGAGGAAGCCACGGCUAACUACGUGCCAGCCGCCGCGGUAACAC